rnacentral:rRNA from 1 species
AGAUUGAACGCUGGCGGCAUGCUUUACACAUGCAAGUCGAACGGUAACAUGGGUUUUCGGACCUGAUGACGAGUGGCGAACGGGUGAGUAAUGCAUCGGAACGUGCCUAGUAGAGGGGGAUAGCCCGGCGAAAGCCGGAUUAAUACCGCAUACGCCUUGAGAGGGAAAGCGGGGGAUCUUAGGACCUCGCGUUAUUAGAGCGGCCGAUGUUCGAUUAGCUAGUUGGUAGGUAAAGGCCUACCAAGGCGACGAUCGAUAGCUGGUCUGAGAGGAUGAUCAGCCACACUGGGACUGAGACACGGCCCAGACUCCUACGGGAGGCAGCAGUGGGGAAUAUUGGACAAUGGGCGCAAGCCUGAUCCAGCAAUGCCGCGUGGAUGAAGAAGGUCUUCGGAUUGUAAAGUCCUUUCGGCGGGACGAUGAUGACGGUACCCGCAGAAGAAGCCCGGCUAACGUUCGUGCCAGCAGCCGC